CCUACGGGCGGCAGCAGUGGGGAAUAUUGGACAAUGGGGGCAACCCUGAUCCAGCCAUGCCGCGUGUGUGAAGAAGGCCCUCGGGUUGUAAAGCACUUUCAGUGAGGAAGAACGCCUGGUGGUUAAUACCCAUCAGGAAAGACAUCACUCACAGAAGAAGCACCGGCUAACUCCGUGCCAGCAGCCGCGGUAAUACGGAGGGUGCGAGCGUUAAUCGGAAUUACUGGGCGUAAAGCGCGCGUAGGUGGCUUGAUAAGCCGGUUGUGAAAGCCCCGGGCUCAACCUGGGAACGGCAUCCGGAACUGUCAAGCUAGAGUGCAGGAGAGGAAGGUAGAAUUCCCGGUGUAGCGGUGAAAUGCGUAGAGAUCGGGAGGAAUACCAGUGGCGAAGGCGGCCUUCUGGACUGACACUGACACUGAGGUGCGAAAGCGUGGGUAGCAAACAGGAUUAGAUACCCUGUAGUC
rnacentral:rRNA from 1 species